rnacentral:rRNA from 1 species
GAUGAACGCUGGCGGCGUGCCUAAUACAUGCAAGUCGAGCGAACGGACGAGAAGCUUGCUUCUCUGAUGUUAGCGGCGGACGGGUGAGUAACACGUGGAUAACCUACCUAUAAGACUGGGAUAACUUCGGGAAACCGGAGCUAAUACCGGAUAAUAUUUUGAACCGCAUGGUUCAAAAGUGAAAGACGGUCUUGCUGUCACUUAUAGAUGGAUCCGCGCUGCAUUAGCUAGUUGGUAAGGUAACGGCUUACCAAGGCAACGAUGCAUAGCCGACCUGAGAGGGUGAUCGGCCACACUGGAACUGAGACACGGUCCAGACUCCUACGGGAGGCAGCAGUAGGGAGUCUUCCGCAAUGGGCGAAAGCCUGACGGAGCAACGCCGCGUGAGUGAUGAAGGUCUUCGGAUCGUAAAACUCUGUUAUUAGGGAAGAACAUAUGUGUAAGUAACUGUGCACAUCUUGACGGUACCUAAUCAGAAAGCCACGGCUAACUACGUG